rnacentral:tRNA from 1 species
UCCCUCAUAGCUCAGUUGGUAAAGAAUCUGCCUGCAGUGCAGGAGACGUGGGUUAGAUUCCUGUUUUAGGAA